rnacentral:lncRNA from 1 species
GUCUCUCUAGUAUAGAUAUCAAUUUGAAUAACCAUUGUGCCGAAAUCUCCUGAUUUAAAUUUGUGGAUUCCUUUAGUAGUUUAUUUACCAGUCGGACACCAUGUAUAAGUCACACAUUAAGUAGGUCAGUCGAUGAAUAUAAGCGAAUCAUUUAAGCAAAUAAAAGGUCAUACUAUGGAAAUACGGUUAAACCUUGUGAAUAUAUAUGUAUAUUUGAAUAUUGCUUGUGAAAGUAAUACGAAAAUUUGCAUCAUCGGGAUAAUUUGCGAGAAAUAAAAAUAAAAAAAAUGAAUAAAAUCGCUAACCGAUUUUCUUACCAUGUGUGUGACAUAGAUAAAGGGUCUUAAUGUGACUGUCUAGAAUGAAAAAAGGAUAAAACAAAGGAGAUGAUCUAGAUUUUAGUACAAUGGCAUGAUCCGAAUUCGGUAUGUAUAAGAGGGAGAACUUUGUGUCUCGUUGAAAUACCCUUCUUGAUUGAAUAAACACCUAAUUAAUUAGUCUUAGCUGAUUUGAAUUUCUGACCACGUAUGAGUAUUUGUGGUAUUGUUUUUUUUUCUAAGUCUACAUUUAUGAAUUGCUUAGUAUUUUAAAUAUUUUCCAUAUGCAAGCAAAAUUGCUUGAGGACAAGCAAUGGUUCAAGUUUAGGGGAGUUUGAUAACACCGAAAAAUGCACUAUUUAUUNNNNNNNNNNNNNNNNNNNNNNNNNNNNNNNNNNNGCCCAAUUCACAAGCAUAUGGCGCACACCAUAUAACAAGUGAUGGCCGCCACAUGUGCUAUUUCAUAGGCACAUAAUUAGAUUAAUUAACAUGUGAAGGAAGACCACACAAUUACGUGUCCUUGCCACACUUUGUCUUUGCAGCGUACACUUACCAGUUUGUUCCGAAUCUCAGGCAGAAAAAGACGGACUGCAACGGAAAAAAUAUCUCCUCUUCUCGGUCUAUAAAUAGAAGACCCAUCUGUGUUAUAUUUUCCUCUCACACGCUUCAUUAUUAGAAUUUAAGAGCAGAUAGAAAAUAUUUUACUUUCCUGUUUUCCAUUCAGUUUAGCAGUUUAGCAUUCAAGCUUGUUCCGGUGACAUUGUUUUCAAUUCCAAUUCCAGUUUAUUAAGGUUCUAAUCUCUUGUUCUAUUUAUUUUGUUUUAUUUAUUUGUUACAAUUUGUUCACUGUUCUUUUAAUUCAGUCACUGUUUGUUCAAGUUUUACAUCUUUCAGUACCUAUCGUUGCUUUAUUUAUGUUAUGUUUAUUUAUUUAAUUACUAUGUUGUUUCCGGCAAUUAUGUCUAGCUAAUUUAUUGAAACUGGAAUGUGAAAUU